GUCUAAUGAUCAGAGGUAGAAUCGCGAACUUAGAUGGGAAGGACUAGUCAAUUGGACAAAGCAGCUCCCAAGGCUUGCAAGUCACACACAUCUGAGAUCCCAGGGAUUUCAGUAUUAACACUGGCAACCUGAUUUGAAGGCUGAACCCCAAGAUCAGUGGCCCCUUCUGCUUGAUACAUCUGGUAGGAGAAGGGAGAGAGGCCAGCACAUGCCGUAGGGGCAAACACAUGGAGUUGGCGUCCUUUAUAACAACCUGGCCCCAUGCGCACUGACUCAUUCCAUGAGACCGGAGCUAAUUUCUUGCAAGGAUGAGAUUCCAAGGAGUAAUAACUUCCACGAAGGCCCGCAGC
rnacentral:lncRNA from 1 species